CAUUAAUCUCAUGGGGAUUUUAUUAAUAUCUCCUGCUAUUUUUUGCAGGGGCUGGUGGAGGGCGGUGGCUGCUCCAUGCACCUUGUGGAGUCUUAAGGCUUGAACCCGGGCCCUCAGCAGUGAACACAUGGAGUCCUAACCACUGGACUGGAUUCCCUGGGAAACUGGAGAGCCAAGAGCUGAAGCAGUUAGAAUCAGCCCAGCAGAAAGGUGUGGUGGACUCAGGACCCCACCGUGCAGAGGCUCCCCUGUGGGCCAAAAGAACUCUUCUUGGUCAUUCUGAAGGUCUGGGAAGCAGAAAUUCACUAGCUCUUUGCCAAACCCGGAUCCCUUUCCUCCUGGGCACACGUCUAGGUGGACGUGCCCACCCUCCCUUGCGCUUAGUGUGCUGUGUGGCUGAGGUGUGGCCAGUGGCAACAGAAGGCAGGGGGUGCACUGACCUGUGGCAUCCUCCGAGUGACCACCCACCCUCCUGCUUCCCGAGCGGACCCCCUGAAUGCCAGCGCCCUGGGUGAGUGGGGAGCCGUGUGCUGCAGGUAGCAAGGGCCCUGCGCAGCCUGGGUUCCCUUCCCCUUUGCACUGUGCAACCAGGUCAGCAGUUAGCAUUUCCUUAAAUAAUACACUCUGGAAUGCCCCUGCCCUGAGGGAGACCCAUGUGUCCUGCCCCAUUACCCCUUAUGUUCUCCAGACGUGAAUAACAAGGCAGAUCUCGGCAGGCCCCCAGGGACCAAAGACGUCAAAUCUGGGAGAAGGAUAUUGGAACACCGAAAGAACCACGAGAUUUUGCUAAUUUAUUUUUGCAAAACCUGCAAAAUGAUCUGGGAAUGGAUUCUGAGGGUGCAGAGUGGGGAAGGAGGAAAAUAAUCUUAGAUGAGGUGGAACAUACUGAUAUUUAGGGUUCUGUGGCAAAAAGCAAAGAAGAACUAAAGAGCCUCUUGAUGAAAGUGAAAGAGGACAGUGGAAAAUUUGGCUUAAAACUCAACAUUCAGAAAACAAAGAUCAUGGCAUCCAGUCCUAUCACUUCCUGGCAAAUAGAUAUGGAAACAAUGGAAACGGUGAGAAAUUUUAUUUU
ensembl:lncRNA